rnacentral:rRNA from 1 species
GAAGUGUGGACGCCAGUCUGCAUGGAGCCGACCUUGAAAUACCACCCUUUAAUGUUUGAUGUUCUAACGUUGACCCCUAAUCGGGGUUGCGGACAGUGUCUGGUGGGUAGUUUGACUGGGGCGGUCUCCUCCUAAAGAGUAACGGAGGAGCACGAAGGUUGGCUAAUCCUGGUCGGACAUCAGGAGGUUAGUGCAAUGGCAUAAGCCAGC